UGGAAAGACUUGUAUUAUUAACAGAUUUUGCAAAAAAAUGUUCGAAACCAACUACAAAUCAACAAUUGGGGUUGAUUUUGAAGUUGAAAAAUUUAAAAUUAUUGGAAUACCCUUUUACCUGCAAAUAUAAUCAAGAAAAAUUGGUUAAAUUUACAACAACGGUUAUAGUUGCCGGUGUUCGUAAAAAUAAGGUAAAUGGAGAUUACUCAAUAAUUGCGAUGGGCACAUAUUCCUUUUCUCAGGACAUGCGGCGGGGCACGUACGACAAUUCAAACGCAAAAUGUUAAUGUAUCAAAAAAUGAGACAUACCCCCUUUGACAUUUCCACUCUUUAAUUUGCAAAUUAAUAUAAGCAAAAAGAAC